AUGUGUGUUGAUUUGUGUUUUGGACCAAUAAAUAGGAAUUCUCCUGUCUUAAUAUCCAAUAAAUGGUUGACUCUUGUCCGCAAAAAUAUUAGCUGUGGUUGGAUAUGUUUUUUAUUGAAACUUUUAGGAAAUCUGCCAGGGGAGCUGGUUGCUUUUCACUCAUGUGCUUUUUGUCUCUAUCUCUUUCUCUGUCUCUGUCUGUCUCUCCCUUUCCCUCCCUCUCUCUGCCUCUCUCCUUCUUUCCCUCUCUCUCUGUCCCUCCCUUUCUGUUUCUGUUUUUCCCUUCCUCUCCUUCUCCCUCUGUCUCUCGCUCCCUCCCCCUCUCUCUGUUUCUCUCUUUGUCUCUGUCUCUCCUUCUCUCUGUCUCUGUCUCUCUCUCUCUGUCUGUGUCUCCCUCUCUGUGUCCCACCCUCUCUAUCUGUGUCUCUCCCUCUCUUUGUCUUUGUCCCUACCUCUGUCUCUCCCUCUCCCUCUGUCUCUCCCUUCCUCUCUGUCUCUGAUCCCUCCCUUUCUCUCUUUCUCUGUCUCUCUUCCUCCUUCUCUGUUUCUCUCUCCCUCUCUUGUCUCUGUCUCUUCCUCUCCAUAUGUGUUUCUCUCUCUGUCUCUCCCUCUCUCUCUCUGUCUGUGUCUCCCUCUCUGUCUCUGUCUCCCUACCUCUUUAUCUCUGUCUCCCUCCCUCUCUCUGUCUCUCCCUCUCCCUCUGUCUCUCCCUUCCUCUCUGUCUCUGAUCCCUCCCUUUCUCUCUCUCUGUCUCUCUCCCUCCCUCUCUGUCUCACCCUCUCCCUCCCUGUUUCUCCCUCUCCCUCUGUCUCUCUUUCCCUCUCUGUCUUUGUCUCUGUCUCCCUCUCUGUGUUUCCCUCUCCUGUCUCUCCCUUCUGUCUCUGUCUCUCCUUCCUUCCCCCUCUGUCUCUGUCUGUCUCUGUCUCUCCCUCUCUCUGUCUGUCCCUCCCUAUCUGUCUCUGUCCCUCCUCUGUCUCCCCCCUCCUCUCCCUCUGUUUGUCUCUUCUUCCCUCUCUGUCUCUGUGUCUCUCCCUCUCCCUUUCUGUCUCUGUCUCUCCCUCUCUCUCCGCUUUUGUCUCUCUCUUCCUCUCUGAUUCUGUCUCUCUGUCUCUACCUUUUGUUUAUAUAUCAGUCAUUUCAGGAUUUCUACAUCUUCUCCCCCCCACCUCCAGUCCUAUAAUGAUCCUUCCUUUGUAA
rnacentral:lncRNA from 1 species